rnacentral:misc_RNA from 1 species
AGAUGUGGAAUCGAAAUAAAAAAUACAAUAACAAUUACUUACAAACUUUUAUACUUAUAUCAGGAGUCUAAACCAAAUGUGUUACAAAAAUAAAAUAAAGCUAACGUUUAAGUAACUUUAACGAUUUAACGAAUACUACUCGAUUACAAAAUUAGGCAGGUUAACUCUCCAAACGGACAAGGAACUACACGAAACACGUUCACAGUUCACGAAGUGCGUCUCGAACUGAAACGCGCACAGCGCACGCGCGUCAUCCCUCCUACGGUGACCCUUCUUCACUAUUCUUCUAACAAUAUAUA